rnacentral:misc_RNA from 1 species
UUUCCGUAGGUGAACCUGCGGAAGGAUCAUUAACGAAUAACUAUGGUGUCUUGGUUGUAGCUGGCUCUUCGGAGCAAUGUGCACGCCCGCCAUUUUUAUCUUUCCACCCGUGCACCGACUGUAGGUCUGGAUACCUCUCGUCUCUCUCUUGAGAGGCGGAUGUGGGGAUUGCUCGUAAGGGCUCUCCUCAAAUUUCCAGGCUCUACGUCUUUUUACACACCCCAAUAGUAUGAUGUAGAAUGUAGUCAAUGGGCUUCUUAGCCUAUAAAGCACUAUACAACUUUCAGCAACGGAUCUCUUGGCUCUC